ACAGCUUCCGAGUAUCUUAAUCUAUUCCAUAUUCUGGGAGGUUCUUAGAAGGGGAGGGUAACCAUUCAUUCUCCCACAGUCACUCCACGCUUGCUUUCCCACUCACAUCCUCUUGGGAUUGACAGCAGUAGGGUAACAGAGUUCUGCCUUCCCUGAUGCUGCGUGGCUCCUUGGCCUUCACUUAAUCAAGGCCAUUGCUGUGAAAGUAAGCUGUGCACAAGGGGGCCUGCCCAGAAGAAAGCAGGGAGCUAUGGCAUUGCCUUCUCCCAGCUUAAAUGGAGUAUCUAAUUAAAGCCACACCACCACUGUUAAAGAAAUGUAAGGAGCAAAAAGGAGCAAACACACGGAGGUUCAUCUGCCAAUGACAAAGCUGGAAUUAAGAGGAGCCAACCCAUGUGAAAAACUUCCAGGGCUUAAGAUCAAGUCAUUGAAAGGAGGGAUCAAAUCCUAAUUUCUGGAACACCAGAAUUUGGAAUUAAGUUCUCAAUAAUUCUUGUGGAAUUAGAUUUGGCACCAGAACCCCACAAUUUCUACAGACCGGCAAGAAUUCACAGAUCAAAUUUCAGGACUGUUUUUAGCUCAGUACAAGAUAGUUGGUGGUGAGAAUUUUAAAAUAAAAAUGAAACCCUAGAGAUAAGUUUCUUUUAAAAUUUUUACAGAUAUAGACACAGUUAUCCCCUUUUCUGGAAUUCAUAGCAAACAUCAGGAACUAAGAUAUUAUAAUUACCUCUAAAUUUUGACAAUUUCUCAAAAAUUGCUAAAGUUCGUUCAGGAAAGAUAGAGAAGAUGCGACGCUGUGGAUGACCUGCUUUGUUAGCCAGAAGGACAGAAGAGAACCCACCGUGGACUUUGCUUCCACUCUGGGCCAGUGGGUAACCAUUCAUUUGAAGAAGGUGGCAUCGAGAAGUCAGUAAAGGUGGGGGACCCCCUUCGUGGAUCCCGUAUAGCAGGAGAGAGAAACGGUGGUGUUGGUGGCAGUGAUGAAUGUGGCCUUCUGGUCCUGCGUAGGAAAGCUGUAAACUCAUGGGUUCAAUUCCCAGGAUAGGAGGGUGGGGUCUGGAGAAGAGCAGCAUGGCCUGAGCCUUAGCAGACAUGCUUAGUGAUUGCAUCCCACUGACAAGGAGACACAGCCACGGCUUUUGUUCUGCAUGCCUGGAAAGGCAGGCCAGAGCAGGAGAGCCAUCCAAAAGCAAGAAAAACCAUUUCCUCACAAAAGGAGAGGUUAUUCUCUUAUUUUCUUUUCCCCUGGAGCCUGAGUCAGGCAAGAAAGCAACACCCUAAGGUCAGAUCGAAGUCACAGAGAUGAGAGCUCCAUUCAGGUUCAAUUUGACAGGCUGAAAGACACUCAUAGCCCAGAUGGGCAAUAAACCAGAAGAGCCACAGCAGCAGAAGCAAUGCCUUAUUCCCAAAUAUUGCUUGGAGCCCAAGAACAGUCUCUUGCAUUUCAGCUCAUACUCCCCACACAGCAAACCAAGCUGUGCUCUUUCUGGGUGGCUGGCUCAAAGAAUCAUACAUUACAGUGGAAACUCCCAUUUACUUCAUUUACUGCCAUUUAUAAUAUUUUCCACUAUUUGUAGAUAAUGAAUUCAUCCUUUUUUUUUUCUUUUUUGUCAAAACUUAUGCAGGCCACUCCAAAAGCCAAAAAUGUUCCAAAAUCUUACUCGAAUGUGUUCCCCUUCGUUUUCUCUGAUAGCUUUAAUGGUUUCUUUGGAAUUGCCACAAUAUCAACCAAAUUAACAAUGCUGAGCAAUAAAAAUUGUUACCUUCAUUCCUGAGUGCCAAGGGGCCUUUUGAAUGAGGAUGCUUAAAGAAGAGAGGUUAAUUAAAGUCACUCCCAGAAAAAUAACCACCCACCACAAAAAGUUUCUCCCCAGCCCAGUCUAGCUCUGUAUCAUAGUUAUUGACAAUCUCCAGUUUAUUUGAAACUCAUUUAACAUGCAGGACUGAAACCAUGAAUUUUGUCAAUGGAAUUACA